rnacentral:misc_RNA from 1 species
AACCUGCGGAAGGAUCAUUACUGAGUGAGGGCCCUCUGGGUCCAACCUCCGCACCCGUGUUUAUUGUACCUUGUUGCUUCGGUGCGCCCGCCUCACGGCCGCCGGGGGGCUUCUGCCCCCGGGUCCGCGCGCACCGGAGACACUAUUGAACUCUGUCUGAAGAUUGCAGUCUGAGCAUAAACUAAAUAAGUUAAAACUUUCAACAACGGAUCUCUUGGUUCCGGCAUCGAUGAAGAACGCAGCGAAAUGCGAUAACUAAUGUGAAUUGCAGAAUUCAGUGAAUCAUCGAGUCUUUGAACGCACAUUGCGCCCCCUGGUAUUCCGGGGGGCAUGCCUGUCCGAGCGUCAUUGCUGCCCUCAAGCACGGCUUGUGUGUUGGGCUCCGUCCCCCCGGGGACGGGUCCGAAAGGCAGCGGCGGCACCGAGUCCGGUCCUCGAGCGUAUGGGGCUUUGUCACCCGCUCUGUAGGCCCGGCCGGCGCCAGCCGACAACCAAUCAUCCUUUUUCAGGU